AAUCAAGCCGAUAUUUCUCCACAAAGAAAACACUGUUUUGUAAUGGUAAAAAAAGUCGAAACUCAUACAAUCAUUGUUUAUAUUGCAUAUAACAUGAGCACAUAUACAAAUGAUAUAUCCUGUACAAGGACAAACGUAUCGAUGUAGUACAUGAGACAUAAAUACACAUAUAUUGAAGACAUAUUGCGGUGGUCUGCUGUUAUCUGGUCUUUGGUCAGGUUGUUGUCUCUUUGACAUAUUCCCCAUUUCCGUUUUCAAUUUUAUUCUUAUUUACAAUUAAAAAGACGAAAAACAUUGUAUCAUAAAAAGCAUGGUCGAAACAUAAAGAAAAUAAGAGAUAACAAUUGUUUUGAAAAAAAAAAACAUGUUCAUGCAUGUUCUUUUGCAUUUGCAUUUCUUGAUAGCAAAAUAAAAUCUUGCUUGUAUUGCAACAGCAUGCAAUAAAAUUUCUUCUUUUUCCAAUGUGCAUUUUCACUUUGCAUGUCAAAAGUUCUAUAUCUGCCAUAUCAUAACAAAAGUUUAAUAUGCCAAAUUCACAUGAUAGUUUAUACAAAUUUGCAUCUUCACAAUGAUAUCAUUAAUCAUACAUAGUAAAAGGGAAUGAUCCCCCGUUUCCCUUUCAACAACUGGUAUUCUUAAAGUAACAAAGUUACCUAGCUGUUUCCAUCUUUGCAUUAUUUUUCGACACUUUUUAAUGAUAUAAUUCAAUUUCAGGUACUGACAUGAUAAAUACAGGAGAUUAACAAAUUAAAUUAACGUGACUUUUUUAAAUAGUUAAAAUAUUAGAUUUAUAUUUCCGUUUCAAUUGAACUUUUUAUUUUAUUUCAAAAUUUCAAUUAUGUUGAUCUGUAAUUUACAUUUGUAUUUAAUAAAUUUGACCAACUUCUUAUAAUUAGGCAGACCGUACGCGUACAGUCCGACCGUAUGCGUAUUUUGAAAAAAAGGUUUGCAUACGGUCAAGACCGUAGGCGUACGGUCCUAAUACUCAUAUGGUCUAGAACAUAUACAUCAUCCACAGUUUAAAAGAAAAAUAAAUAUAACAAUAUUUAAAGAAAUCUAAUUUGUUGUAAAACUUUAGUGAGUUGUGAUGUGAGUAUCUUGCUACUACAUUACGAUUUAUCUAAUGUGUUGUCUAACAAGUAAUUCUUGCGAUAUAAAGACUCAUUAGAAUAACGGCCUCAUAGUUUUGAACCAGUGAAUACACGUAUCAUCAAAUCUAAAUAACAUAUAUGACGGAGAAAAAACUCAAGUUUGGUUACUCUCUUAUUCAACUUUCAACUCUACGCGAUUGUUUAAAAGCAAUGUGUAAAUUACGUUUUAUAUACAUAUACAUGAUAUAUUGUGUUAGUACAGUGGAUUUUUAACACAAAUGGUUUACUUACUGCAAAAGGGAAUUUGUAUUACAUAUUUGCUGAAGCAAUGAUAGUUCAUCUAUUUGAGAAGAAGCUAUAAUCCUAUUUACAUAUUGUUUAGACAAAACAUGUUAUUUAACACACUUAAUAAGCCAAAUGGAUGCCGGAAGUCUUUGCAUAUAAUUACAGAUAUGUGGCGUCAAAAAGAGGACAUAUAUCUACUAAUAAGAUUUGAUUGCCUUUUGAAGCUGUUCCCAAAAAACAACAUCGCCGUACUCAUCAUUUGGAUACUCAAUAUAUGAUUGACAAUGAACCAGUUCCAGUAUUUUAAGUGGAAGAUCGCAAGCAGACAUUUGCUCGUAAAAUACUAGGAAAAGGAUGUUCUCACAAUUGCGUUCAUAGAUACUCUCCAUUUUAGCCAUAUUAUAUUCGAACAUACACCAGUACGAAGCUAAAUAAUUUGCAGACAUUAUGACAAUAGUUUUCCGGCUGUUAUGAAUUGCGGAUGUAAUAUUGGUGGCGAUGUCAUUUCCCGGUAGGAAAUUACGCCUAUGCAAGCACAACUGAAUUCCACCAUUUUUUUCCAGAUUAUUGAGAAGUUUAUGGUGGACAAAUGUGUCAUCCUCAUUUGCAUAUGAGACGAACGCGUCAUACAUGUAUAGUCGUUCAUCUUUGUCGUCUGAACGAGGUUCGGGGUCAUGCCAUUUGACUUUGACCAUGUAGUAAAGAUAGCGUAGUUUCCAUCUAUAUCUGUAAACAAUACCACCACAAAGAAUAAAAAUAAACAUCAAUAUUCCUGUCGUUAAUCCAAUUAUUAAGCCUUCAUAUGACAUACAUUCCUUUUGUAUUGUUUUAAAAACUUCUCUCGGGUUUUGCAGAAGACUGAUGGUGUUUUGUGAUGUUUUACAUUCGUAUUCUUCCCGAUGAUGAAGAAUGGUUGAUGUGUAAAUUAUCCAUUUGACGAAAGACUGAGAAUCACAAUUACAUACAAGAUUAUUUUCAGCAAGGUCAAUAGUAAGAUUUUUACUAAUUUUGGCAAUCGAGUCCAACUCGUUCAUGGCAUAUUGACUCAGUGCAGAUAUUCUAUUAUUCCGUAAAUUUAAAGACGUGAGUUUUUUCAUAUGAGAAAGUUUAAAGUUGAUAUCCUCAAUCAUGUUUUCACUGAGGUCUAAUUUUUCUAAAUUGUGUUGCUUUUGAAAUAACAGAUGUGGUAUAUUCGUUAUUUUAUUUUUAGAAAGAUUUAUGUACAGGACGUUAUGGAGGUUCUGAAAUAUUUCUCCGUUGACAUCCUUUGGUAAAACAAGUCCUAGAAGAUUGUUUUGUAGCAGUAAACAUCUUAAAUUGAUGAAAUCUGAACUAAAAAAUGUCUUUGAAACAUUGGAACAAAAGUUUACUGAAAGGUCCAAAUGUGUUAGUUUUUUUACAUUCGUUAUUGGACCUGUCCAUGUAUGCAAGAUAUUAUCACUCAAAUCUAUAUUUUCUAUUUCAUUUUCAGUGAAACUCAAGUUUGGUAGUUCAAGUUUUACGCUGUUAGACCUCAUCGAAACCUUUAUCAGAUUCCUUGGCAUUGGAAAAACAAACUUACCAGAUCUAUUUUUAAACAGUUCCAAAAUUGGAAGUUCUUUAUAUAACCAAUUAUUUUCAGAAUUGAUGGUAAUAUUUUCUUCUUUAAUCGGACAUUUUUCUACAUAAGAUGAGAUCAUAUCAAAAGGAGAAGUAUUGUCAGACAUUUCCAGUGAUACAAUUGGCAUAUUUGUGAGAUCAAGGAAAUAUUUGCCUGCAGAUAAAACGUUUUUCGUUAUGUCUACACUUUUGAGUGUUUCAGGUAAAUAUUUAAUUGCUCCGGAUUCUAUUGUCUGGAUACGGUUCCCGGCGCCUUCCAGUCUAACAAUUGACGUAUUCUGUAAAUUCCAAAUGUGAGAAGUUUUCAGGACUGUAGUCUUUUCCAAAAUACCAUGAAUAUAGUUAAAUUUCAAGAUUUCAAUUGCUGAAUGCUGCAAAUCGGUGGUAAUAUUUUCAAGCGCGUCGAAUCGUAAACAUGUGUUUAGAGAAACGUCAAUUUCCAAUAUAUUUCUCAAUAACUUAAACGUUCCUUUGAAAAGAUAUUGUAUUUUGCAUUGGGAUAAGUUCAAAUGAGUUAUUUGAGGCAAGAACAAGAAUGUUUUCUCUGUUAGUAUAGUCAACUUGCAAUUACCAGUUAAGCCAGAUAGAUCUAUUUUUUUAAGGUUUUUAAAAUAGCUGAAUUUCUCAUCGAGAAUUGCAAUUUUGUCUGCAAUAUAAUCUAUUGACAGCGAUUCUAGUGAUCGUAGUUUCCACAAAUCUGGCACGAAUGAUGUACGGACAUUUCUUUUCAAAUUCAAGUGUUUUAAGUUCUCCAGGAAAUGAAAGGCUGAAUAUUUAAACGACCAGUUUUCAAAUUUCAAAUCAUUGUUGCUAAGAUUUAAAGAGAGUAAAUUUGAGAGUCCUUUGAACGAGUUUUGUCGUACUUGACUAAUCUUAUUGAAAGACAAAUCCAAAGUCGUCAUUAAAGAGUUGCCUACGAAAAUCCCAUCUUGUAUCAUACUGAUAUUAUUAUUUCGGAGAGAUAACUCUUGAAUAUUGCUUGGAAACACAGGUAUACGAAGUAGAUCUUUGCCUGAACAAUCUGCUAUAAGAUUUCGUGAACCAGGAACGUCUUUGUAUAGACAGCAACUGGCAAAUUGACAUGCUUUCCAUUCUUUAAUAUCAUGGAGGAUUGCAUAUUUGCAACUACUUAGUAAAACAAAAGAAGUAACUAACAUGUAAGGAUGGUUGAUGUUCCCUGCAGAGAUAAUAAAUAUGCAGUUUAUAUGCAGUCAAUUUCAAG
rnacentral:lncRNA from 1 species